UAUUGGGCGUAAGAGCUCGUAGGCGGCUUGUACGUCGGAUGUGAAAGCCCGGGGCUUAACCCCGGGUCUGCAUCCGAUACUGUCAGGCUUAGAUUCCGGUAGGGGAGAUCGGAAUUCCUGGUGUAGCGGUGAAAUGCGCAAAUAUCAGGAGGAACACCGGUGGCGAAGGCGGAUCUCUGGGCCAUUACUGACGCUGAGGAGCGAAAGCUUGGGGAGCGAACAGGAUUAGAUACCCUGGUAGUCCACGCCGUAAACGUUGGGCACUAGGUGUGGGGGCUUUUCCCCGUUUCCGUGCCGCAUCUAACGCAUUAUGUGCCCCGCCUGGGGAGUACGGCCGCAAGGCUAA
rnacentral:rRNA from 1 species